rnacentral:rRNA from 1 species
AUUGAACGCUGGCGGCAGGCUUAACACAUGCAAGUCGAGCGGAGAUGAGGUGCUUGCACCUUAUCUUAGCGGCGGACGGGUGAGUAAUGCUUAGGAAUCUGCCUAUUAGUGGGGGACAACAUUCCGAAAGGAAUGCUAAUACCGCAUACGUCCUACGGGAGAAAGCAGGGGAUCUUCGGACCUUGCGCUAAUAGAUGAGCCUAAGUCGGAUUAGCUAGUUGGUGGGGUAAAGGCCUACCAAGGCGACGAUCUGUAGCGGGUCUGAGAGGAUGAUCCGCAACACUGGGACUGAGACACGGCCCAGACUACUACGGGAGGUAGCAGUGGGGAAUAUUGGACAAUGGGGGGAACCCUGAUCCAGCCAUGCCGCGUGUGUGAAGAAGGCCUUAUGGUUGUAAAGCACUUUAAGCGAGGAGGAGGCUACUGAGACUAAUACUCUUGGAUAGUGGACGUUACUCGCAGAAUAAGCACCGGCUAACUCUGUGCCAGCCGCCGCGGUAAAAC